UGGGAGGCUGAUAAAAAGGACGCAAUAGAGAGAGAAAGAGAGAGAAUUAUCUUUAGGAGAAGCAUAGAGGAGAAGGGCAGGGUAACACGCAUUGAAGAGAAAGAGAUAUGUGGACAAAUUCAAGUUUGAGAGCAGAUUUCUAGAAAUGUGCAGUAGCCGAAAGCCAAGCAAUUGGAGAGGAGAUCGUGCAGAUUCAAAAUCAAGUAUUCGGACAAUAAGUAUCAAAUGACAUAUGCCAUUGUAAAGGCAAGAAAAACUUCAUCAAAAAGUUCUUCUUUUCAAUUAUGUUCUCAAAUGACAACUAAAGUUCAACUACUUGUUUCUUUUGCUCAUACAAGGAGGUGGUCACACAACUCCAAAAUAUAAGCCUAAGGAAUGUUUUGCCAUGGCUUAUAGGUGGUUUUCUUAUUACUUUUUCUAGUUAAAAAGUUUAUUCAACAAUUUCACCUAAUUUUUAUGGGUUUUGCCAAGUAAAAUCUCAUUAUUUUUAAUGAUGCAAGGAGGCAAUGUAAUAAUGUUCACUUAGAAUUAUGUUCUA